GUACCUUUUCAUGGGGACUGCAGUCUAGGAAUAGGUACUUGUGGCUGGAUAGGCAGGUUCUGCUUUAAACAAGCAAUCCUGCAUUUGCCAUUCUCCUGCAAAGGCUUGGAUCACCGGUGCUCUGCUGUGUGCUUUUAGGAAGAGCCUCCCCUUCCUGGCUGUGGCAAAGUCUUCCAGGCAGGAGGGUCUGGCUGGCCUUUCUCUGCAUCCAACUGUAUACAGCUCCAGCUCAGACUUACUGCGGGGCAAGAUUCAACAGUCUUAGAGAUUCCUGACCCUGUGUCCAAGGCCAGGAAACUAUAGUUGAGCCAAAACCAUUGGCACCACUGCUUAGAGUUUCCUUUCAGAAACAAAAAUUGAAAACAAAUUGUCCCAUACAAAACAAAGGGACAGAUCCUCAGCUGGAAUGGACUGGUAUUACCAAGUGAGUAACACCCACUCACAGGAGAGAUUCUGAGCCUUUUAAACAGCAGCUGCCGAUCCUGCUGUGCCUGGACAAGAGCUUCAGCUCCGGGUUUAGAUGGCAGCACUGCUGGAUCUACAUAGCUCAGAAAAGAUGAAGGGCUGCCUUCAGAGCAGCUGAAAGUACACCAAGGCUCUGAGGACUCUGGGACUGUACACUUCCCAAUGGACACGACACCAACAGAGCAACCCAUAUCAGCAUGGCCCUGAAAUUAAUGAGCUGCUUUGGAGAAAUGCUGUCAAAACUUCCAGAAACCAUUCCAUGUGGGGUUUGCUUUCUGGAACAAGGCGUGGCUCUGAUUUUUCUCUCAAAACUGAGAUCAGGCUGAUCACCAUCUUGAAAAUUACAGGAGCAGCCCCCAAGAAAGUAUUAACUGUACCGCGCAAAGGGAAUGCACGGUGAGAGCUCUGA
rnacentral:lncRNA from 1 species